UCAUUAAUAAAAACUUUUAUAUAAAUUUUAUACUUGGGUGUGUGUUUUUUUUUUUAAAGAAAUGAAUACUUUGAUUCCCAGAGGACACAUUAAAUUAUGGAAGCUUGUUUCCGCCAGGGAAUAAAACAAUGUAAAAGAUAACUGCGACUUUUUAUCUCACAAUUCUGACUUUUUUUUCUUUCAAUUGCGAGUUUACAUCUCGCAAUUCUGAUUUUUUCUCACGAUUCUUAGAAUUGUGAGAACUCGCAAUUGCGAUUUAUAAAGUCCAAUUCGGAGGGGGAAAAAAAAUUUAUAUCUCAGAAUUCUGACUUUAUAACUCGCAAUUGCGAGUUUAUAUAUAACAUGCAAUUGCGACUUUAUAUCUUGCAAUUCUGACUAUAUAAACUCGCAACUCGCAAGUCCAAAUUGUGAGUUAAAAAGUCAGAAUUACCUUUAUUAUUUUUUAUUCAUUGGUGGAAACAAGCUUCCAUAUUAAAUUGAUCAAAAGUUACAGUAAAACAUUUAUAAAGGUACAAAAUAUUUCUAUUUCAAAUAAAUGCUGUUCUUUUGAACUUUAUAUUCAUUAAAGAAUCUUGACAAAAAAUGCAUGACAUUUUCCUGACUGGAGUAAUGAUUCUAAAAAUUAAGCUUUGCCAUCACAGGAAUAAAUUACAUUUUAUAUAUAUUAAAAUAGUAAAUAUUUUAAAUUGUAAUGAUAGUUCACAAUAUUACUGUUUUUUUACUGUGUUUUUGAUCAAAUAAAUGCAGCCUUGGUGAGCGUAAUAGCCUUUUUUAAAAAACAUUAAAAAAUCUUAUCAACCACAAACUUUUGAACUGCAGCAUAUAUUAAAAUGUUCUGUAGGCAGAAUAACGGCAGAAUAAGCUGUUUUUGCACUAUUACUAUUCAAAGCAUGCUUUUAGUACAUCAAACUCUUAUUUUAAAAGAUCAAGGAAAAUUUGAUUUCUUAUGACCCCUUUAAGAGUUUCUACUUGUUUGAAAUCAGUUUUUUUCCCCACAGUAUGGCUCUGAAUUAUAAAGACAGCAUUCGUGAGAUAAAUUUAGUACGGUUUUGUGUUAUAUAGUUCAGUGCAGUUUAAUAUUGCUUUAAAGAGUCAACAGAAGCUCUUGUUUCCCUGUGAAGAUGCAAAGAAGUCCAACUGCUUUCAUUUUAAAGGCCAUCUGAUUUCUGCCCAGCGUUUUUGUUCUAUUUACCACAGCAGAUCAGACACCCCAUAACUUCCCUCUGUGCAUUCCUCUGAGGGAAAGGGGAGGGUGGUUAAUGCUUUAAGCAGACUAUGGUGCAUUCCUUUAGGCAGGAGCAAUAUUAGCAGACUGGUCCUAUUGGUUUGAACCAAUGCCAGCGUCCUGAGUACCUUCACUCUGCCUCUGUUUCUGACUGCACUUAUUGCUAACAGCUGGCCUCCUUUCAUCCUCAAUAUACCUCACAAUGUUUUUCAUGUGAUCCUCACGAUCUGCAUGCAACAUUUUUAACAAGAACAGAUUCUGAAAGAACCCAGAAGUCUGCUUUUUGGGACAUUACCUACUAUUACCUCCUUAUGUGGAAACAGAUUCUGCCUCUUAAUGUUGAGGUCUCAUCACGGAUACGCGGUCAUAUCCUCUCCUAAGCCACACCCACAGGGCAUCCAGUUUCCCCUGAAAGAUUCAAACACAACAGUGGUUCAAGAAGAUCAACACUUCAGAGCUUGCAGGUGUGAAAUUCAAGCUGCAAAAUACACUUCAUCAACAAUGCAAAAAUGAUUGUCAGGGUAAUCUAUAAUUGACUACUCAGAGCCAUUCAAAGAAACAGAGGACCAAGGUACUUCAUUUACAUUCAUUUUAUGCAGGUUGUUAAUUGACAAGUUUCUAAUUUUCUAAUUUCCUGUAUGAAUCAAAGAAAUAUAAUAAGUUAGGUAGAACAGCAAUUAGAAAGAAACACAUUUUCCUAAAAUUGGAACAUCUAAUUGACUGACUCACCUUCUUUACUUUGUAUUUUCAAUUCAAUGACAUUCAAAGUUUCUUAUUUGGCAGUAAAUAUCACUGCUUAUAAUGAAGCAGAAAGACAGAUUUUUCACAUAGUUUUCACAUAGAUAUUGAGGACUAGGAGUGCCAGAUAAAUGAAUUACUUUUUAGUAAACAAAUGUCUCCAAUUUGACAAAACAUUCAAGUAUAGCUCAAUAAAGGAUUGGCUGUUGGAACCACCAAUAACUCCCUGAGGUAAAUAAUUGUCUUAAAAAAAACAAACAGUUAUUAGUAACAUUUGCCACACACUGCCCUGGAUAAGCUCUCACUUCAUUUCUUGAAAAGUUGUGGGCUUCAAUGGAGACUAAACUGAGAGUGAAUUUCUUGUAGAAUGUAGGUCAAACACACAGAAGUUUCUCUUAAUAAUUUUUAACCUGUAUGUGUGUUUAACUUCUGCCUCUCAGAGUGGACUGUCACCCAACAUAAUCCUGAGGAAAGAAGGUGGAAGAGAAAGAGAAAAGGAGUUUGUUUUGUUGGGAAACGGACCAGCUCUGCAAAGCUCAUCUCCCUUGGGUCAGCUCAGUUCAGCGUCUGGUUUAAAUUAACCCUCCCCUUCCAUCUGACAGAGACAUUAUGAAACAAUGCAUGAACCGCUUCCCGGACUGGCCGAGGCCACCACAACAGCACGCCGCUUCUUCUGAGCUCCUUCCAGUCUUCCAUAUGCUGGCCACGUCAUUUGUUGUCCACCAGAUGACUAUAACGUAAGCAUGACACUGUACUGGGUCAUCCAUAGCUGUUGUGUAAUGUGCUUUUGUGAGAGCAUAUUGGGAUUUCAACAUUUUCUGGCUUUGUAAAAGGUAUUCAAUACCUUUUACAAUGCCAUCCCUGGCCAGUUUAGACCAAUAUGAACUUUCAUUCUGGUCCAAGCUGGUUAGAGCCGGCUUGGUUCUGGUCACUGAUUGGCCAGCAAUGCAAUGCUGUUCACCAGCAAAACUUGGUGAAUCAAGAAUUAAAAUUUUAUAUAAAAAGAAAAAAAGUAAUACAUACUGUCAUUUUUUUUGUGAAUUAAUUUAAGUCUGUUGGUUAAGUAAAAAGUAAAAAAAAUGUCUGGUGGAGACACCAUCUAAUGUGUAACAAUAAAUUGAUAUGAAUCCAUCAAAUGACUAACAAUAUAAUGUAUCGAUGAACACGUAAAAGAAACCCUGUAUAUUUUACAUAUCUAUAACAUAUUAGAAGACUUCGUUUGACUGUUUCUCACUGAACUGUCAUCAAAUAUUUAAUCAUUUUUAAUAAUUUUCAGACUGUUCUCAUUAGUUAUCUCACUACACUAAGCCAAUGAUAUCCGAUAUUUUUUUUUUUUUUUAUUAUUUUAUUACAAGUGUUUUGGUCAUAGGCCCCUGAAUCUAAUCAAAUCAUAAUUGAAUCGUGGCAUGUCUUGAGGUAUUUGCAAAUAUCACUGGCUAAGAGAUUCGAUGUCAGAUCGAAAUGCGAUGAAACAUCUGAUUUACGCCUAGACCAGCAUCUGCUGAUGCAUAACAAAAUGGAUUUUGGCCCCAAAAAGGAUUUAAACAUAUCUACCUUGAUUGGCGAGUACCACUUCUGAGGGUAGAUGGGUUUUCGCAUGCCGUUGUUUAGGGUUCGUGUGGUUGGAAACUCAAACUCUUGCUCAGGCAUCUUCACCCGUGCAUUCUUGGCUUUCUCCAGUUUG